CCUACGGGGGGCCGCCGUGGGGAAUUUUGCGCAAUGGGGGAAAUCCUGACGCAGCAACGCCGCGUGAGUGAGGAAGGCCUUCGGGUCGUAAAGCCCUGUCAGGUGGGAAGAAGUUAUUAUGUGUU
rnacentral:rRNA from 1 species